UCCGAAGGGGGCUAGCGUUGUUCGGAAUUACUGGGCGUAAAGCGCGCGCAGGCGGUCUUCCAAGUCAGUGGUGAAAGCCCGGAGCUCAACUCCGGAACUGCCAUUGAAACUGUGAGACUUGAGUAUGAGAGAGGUGAGUGGAAUUCCCAGUGUAGAGGUGAAAUUCGUAGAUAUUGGGAAGAACACCGGUGGCGAAGGCGGCUCACUGGCUCAUUACUGACGCUCAGGCGCGACAGCGUGGGGAUCAAACAGG
rnacentral:rRNA from 1 species